CGCGUAGGCGGCUCUCUAAGUCCCGUGUGAAAGCCCUCGGCUUAACCGAGGAACUGCACGAGAAACUGGAGAGCUUGAGUUCGGGAGAGGGAAGCGGAAUUCCGGGUGUAGCGGUGAAAUGCGUAGAUAUCCGGAGGAACACCGGUGGCGAAGGCGGCUUCCUGGACCGACACUGACGCUGAGGCGCGAAAGCUAGGGGAGCAAACGGGAUUAGAUACCCCGGUAGUCCUAGCUGUAAACGAUGAGUGCUGGGUGUAGGGGGUAUUAACCCCUCCUGUGCCGAAGCUAACGCAUUAAGCACUCCGCCUGGGGAGUACGGUCGCAAGGCUGAA
rnacentral:rRNA from 1 species